rnacentral:rRNA from 1 species
UACGUAGGGUGCAAGCGUUGUUCGGAAUUACUGGGCGUAAAGGGCUCGUAGGCGGCCAACUAAGUCAUACGUGAAAUCCCUCAGCUUAACUGGGGAACUGCGUGUGAUACUGGAUGGCUUGGAUUUGGGAGAGGGAUGCGGAAUUCCAGGUGUAGCGGUGAAAUGCGUAGAUAUCUGGAGGAACACCGGUGGCGAAGGCGGCCUGCUGGGCAGUAGCUGACGCUGAGGCGCGACAGCGUGGGGGAGCAAACAGG